UACGUAGGGUGCAAGCGUUGUCCGGAAUUAUUGGGCGUAAAGAGCUCGUAGGCGGUCUGUCGCGUCGGAAUGUCGAAAACCCGAGGCUCAACCUCGGGCCUGCAGUGGGUACGGGCAGACUAGAGUGCGGUAGGGGAGAUUGGAAUUCCUGGUGUAGCGGUGGAAUGCGCAGAUAUCAGGAGGAACACCAAUGGCGAAGGCAGAUCUCUGGGCCGUAACUGACGCUGAGGAGCGAAAGCAUGGGGAGCGAACAGG
rnacentral:rRNA from 1 species